rnacentral:rRNA from 1 species
CUACGGGAGGCAGCAGUGGGGAAUAUUGGGCAAUGGGCGAAAGCCUGACCCAGCAACGCCGCGUGAGGGAAGAAGGUUUUCGGAUUGUAAACCUCUGUCCUCAGGGACGAAGGAAGUGACGGUACCUGAGGAGGAAGCCCCGGCUAACUACGUGCCAGCAGCCGCGGUAAUACGUAGGGGGCGAGCGUUGUCCGGAAUUACUGGGCGUAAAGGGUGCGCAGGCGGUUUUUUAAGUUGGAUGUGAAAUACCCGGGCUUAACCUGGGGGGUGCAUCCAAAACUGGGAGACUAGAGUACAGGAGAGGGAAGCGGAAUUCCUAGUGUAGCGGUGAAAUGCGUAGAUAUUAGGAGGAACACCGGUGGCGAAGGCGGCUUUCUGGACUGAAACUGACGCUGAGGCACGAAAGCGUGGGGAGCAAACAGGAUUAGAUACCCUGGUAGC